AGAGUUUGAUCCUGGCUCAGAACGAACGCUGGCGGCGUGGAUUAGGCAUGCAAGUCGAGCGGGAUCUACAGGGCGGAACCUUCGGAGGAUGUCUUGUAGUGAGAGCGGCGAACGGGUGAGGAACACGUGGGCAAUCUGCCCUUGAGUCUGGGAUAGCCCAGGGAAACCUGGAUUAAUACUGGAUGUGGUCGUGUCGCGCAUGCGACACUGUCUAAAGGUGGGGAUCUUCGGACCUACCGCUCAGGGAUGAGCCCGCGUCCUAUCAGUUUGUUGGUGAGGUAACGGCUCACCAAGGCGAAGACGGGUAGCUGGUCUGAGAGGAUGGUCAGCCACACUGGGACUGAGACACUGCCCAGACUCCUACGGGAGGCUGCAGUCGAGAAUCAUUCGCAAUGCGCGAAAGCGUGACGAUGCGACGCCGCGUGGAGGAUGAAGGCUUUCGGGUUGUAAACUCCUGUCAUGAGGGAAAAACGGUCUCAACGUGAACAACGUUGAGAUUUGAUGGUACCUCAAGAGGAAGCCACGGCUAACUCUGUGCCAGCAGCCGCGGUAAUACAGAGGUGGCGAGCGUUGUUCGGAUUUACUGGGCGUAAAGGGUGCGUAGGCGGCUUCGUAUGUCAGGCGUGAAAUCUCACCGUCCAACGGUGAAACUGCGUUUGAAACUGCGGAGCUAGAGUACAGGAGGGGUGAGCGGAAAUUCUCGGUGUAGCGGUGGAAUGCGUGGAUAUCGAGAAGAACGCCGGCGGCGAAAGGCGGCUCACUGGACUGAUACUGACGCUGAGGCACGAAAGCUGGGGGAGCGAACAGGAUUAGAUACCCUGGUAGUCCCAGCUGUAAACGGUGUGCACUUGGUGUGGGUGGAUUUGUCCCCAUCCGUGCCGGAGCUAACGCGUUAAGUGCACCGCCUGGGGAGUACGGCCGCAAGGCUAAAACUCAAAGGAAUUGACGGGGGCCCGCACAAGCGGUGGAGCAUGUGGCUUAAUUCGAUGCAACGCGAAGAACCUUACCUGGGCUUGACAUCCAGCUGCACGUCUCGCGAAAGCGAGAAAGCCUUCGAGGGUGCUGGACAGGUGCUGCAUGGCUGUCGUCAGCUCGUGCCGUGAGGUGUUGGGUUAAGUCCCGCAACGAGCGCAACCCUUGUCACUAGUUGCCACUUCUUCGGAAAGCACUCUAGUGAGACUGCCUGUGACAAGCAGGAGGAAGGUGGGGAUGACGUCAAGUCAGUAUGGUCCUUAUGUCCAGGGCUGCACACGUGCUACAAUGGACGGUAUAAUGGGAAGCAAGACCGCAAGGUGGAGCCAAUCCUCAAAACCGUCCUCAGUUCGGAUUGGAGUCUGCAACUCGACCCCAUGAAGCCGGAAUCGCUAGUAAAGGCGUAUCAGCUACGACGCCUUGAAUACGUUCCCGGGCCUUGUACACACCGCCCGUCACAUCACGAAAGCCGACUGCACCCGAAGUCGCUGAGCCAACCGCAAGGAGGCAGGUGCCGAAGGUGUGGUGGAUGAUUGGGAUGAAGUCGUAACAAGGUAGCCGUAGGGGAACCUGCGGCUGGAUCACCUCCUUA
rnacentral:rRNA from 1 species